rnacentral:rRNA from 1 species
UACAGAGGGGGCAAGCGUUGUUCGGAAUUACUGGGCGUAAAGGGCUCGUAGGCGGCCAACUAAGUCGGACGUGAAAUCCCCAGGCUCAACCUGGGAACUGCGUCUGAUACUGGAUGGCUUGAAUCCGGGAGAGGGAUGCAGAAUUCCAGGUGUAGCGGUGAAAUGCGUAGAUAUCUGGAGGAAUACCGGUGGCGAAGGCGGCAUCCUGGACCGGCAUUGACGCUGAGGAGCGAAAGCCAGGGGAGCAAACGGGG